AUGUCGCAGUUUUGGUGGGGUGACGAGGACAAUCAGAAGAGGAUGCAUUGGAUGGCAUGGUGAAAAAUGUGUGUUCCAAAAUAUCAAGGAGGUAUGGGCUUCUGAGAUAUACACUGUUUCAACCUGGCGCUAUUAGCUAAACAAGCGUGGCGUCUACUCGAUAAUCCGGAAUCUUUAUGUGCAACCAUCUUGAGAGCUAAAUAUUUCCCUGAGGGAGAUUUGAUGAACGAAAGUUUAAAGAAGGGAUCCUCCUUUACUUGGCAAAGCAUUAUGGCGGGAAUGGACUCUUUGAGAAAUGGUUAUAUCUGGCGAGUUGGAAAUGGACAAAACAUCGAUAUUUGGAGAGAUGCGUGGAUUCCGAAUUGUGCGAAUAGGAAAAUUAUUACUCCUAGAGGUGGGUAA
rnacentral:rRNA from 1 species